rnacentral:rRNA from 1 species
GAUGAACGCUGGCGGCGUGCCUAAUACAUGCAAGUCGAGCGAACAGACGAGGAGCUUGCUCCUCUGACGUUAGCGGCGGACGGGUGAGUAACACGUGGAUAACCUACCUAUAAGACUGGGAUAACUACGGGAAACCGGAGCUAAUACCGGAUAAUAUAUUGAACCGCAUGGUUCAAUAGUGAAAGACGGUUUUGCUGUCACUUAUAGAUGGAUCCGCGCCGCAUUAGCUAGUUGGUAAGGUAACGGCUUACCAAGGCAACGAUGCGUAGCCGACCUGAGAGGGUGAUCGGCCACACUGGAACUGAGACACGGUCCAGACUCUUACGGGAGGCAGCAGUAGGGAAUCUUCCGCAAUGGGCGAAAGCCUGACGGAGCAACGCCGCGUGAGUGAUGAAGGUCUUCGGAUCGUAAAACUCUGUUAUUAGGGAAGAACAAAUGUGUAAGUAACUAUGCACGUCUUGACGGUACCUAAUCAGAAAGCCACGGCUAACUACGUG